AGAAAACUCUAAUAUAAACACUAAUUAACCCCAUCUUUUCGGCCAAAUUCGGGUUCUCACCAAAGCCAUUAUUAUUAAUUACUUUUCUUUUAUCAGAGAAACACUGUGGGGGAAAAAAACUGUAACGAUGGCUUGAAUUGAUUGAACCUAAAAAUGUCCCAAUAAAGUGUUUUACAAAUCAUAUAAAAUAUAAGGUAACUGGUAUGAUAUAAUGUCCCACAAAAUAACGAAAUCUAUGUGCUGUGACAAGAGAGAAAAGGAUUAAUGCACCCAAAGUAGAGGGUGCUUUCUUUUGAAGCCUUUUCCCCACUUUGAUGAUUGAGAGAGAUAAGCACUAUCCACUUAGCCUCAUUUCAACAUGUGCUAAUGUCUGGCACUACUACACUGUAAGGUCUCAAAUCAAUUUCUAUAAUAUUCCUAACUAAUGUUUCUAAUAAUGUUCCAAUUAGUUUCCAAAUCAGUGAUAGACAGAGUCUUAAACCAACGUGGCAUUUUCUUUCUCUAUUAGGAAGUGGAUAGGUGACACUGCAGGAAAAAAGCAUUUGCCAAUAUUUGUGCAUAGCAUGUGUCCAUCCAUGUAUCUAUAGCUACAACUAAAAAGAACUAACAAAAGAAGAAGUAAUAAUUAAUUAAAACACUUCAAAAAUUUUAGUGAUGUGUAUAGAUUUUAGUUUGAAUCUCUCGGAUGCCACUUAUUUAUACGUUGAACAAUUCAUUCAAAAUAAAAUUAUGACUUUAAAUGGGCGGUCAUUAGAUUUAGUAUCAAAUUUUUUAAAAUGUUUUGAUAAAUUAAUUACUUAAAAAAACUCUUUUUAAUAUAUUUUUAUUGAUUAUUUAGUACUUAUGUUUAUCUGUCUAAUUUAUGAGACUCAACGAGAGUAAAAAGAUAAUAAAAGGAGGCAUAAUAUUUUUAUCAAAA
rnacentral:lncRNA from 1 species